AUUGAACGCUGGCGGCAUGCUUUACACAUGCAAGUCGAACGGCAGCGCGGGCUUCGGCCUGGCGGCGAGUGGCGAACGGGUGAGUAAUGCAUUGGAACGUGCCCAGUAGUGGGGGAUAGCCCGGCGAAAGCCGGAUUAAUACCGCAUACGACCUGAGGGUGAAAGCGGGGGACCGAAAGGCCUCGCGCUAUUGGAGCGGCCGAUGUCGGAUUAGCUAGUUGGUGGGGUAAAGGCUUACCAAGGCGACGAUCCGUAGCUGGUCUGAGAGGACGACCAGCCACACUGGGACUGAGACACGGCCCAGACUCCUACGGGAGGCAGCAGUGGGGAAUUUUGGACAAUGGGGGCAACCCUGAUCCAGCCAUGCCGCGUGCGGGAAGAAGGCCUUCGGGUUGUAAACCGCUUUUGUUCGGGAAGAAAUCCUCUGGGCUAAUACCCCGGGGGGAUGACGGUACCGGAAGAAUAAGCACCGGCUAACUACGU
rnacentral:rRNA from 1 species